GACGAACGCUGGCGGCGUGCUUAACACAUGCAAGUCGAACGAAGAGCGAUGGAAGUUUGCUUCUAUCAAUCUUAGUGGCGAACGGGUGAGUAACGCGUAAUCAACCCGCCCUUCAGAGGGGGACAACAGUUGGAAACGACUGCUAAUACCGCAUAUGAUUUAAUCUCGGCAUCGAGGAUAGAUGAACGGUGGUCUCUACAUGUAUGCUAUCAUUGAAGCAGGGGAUUGCGUCUGAUUAGCUAGUUGGAGGGGUAACGGCCCACCAAGGCGAUGAUCAGUAGCCGGUCUGAGAGGAUGAACGGCCACAUUGGGACUGAGACACGGCACAGACUCCUACGGGAGGGAGCAGUGGGGAAUCUUCCGCAAUGGACGAAAGUCUGACGGAGCAACGCCGCGUGAGUGAUGACGGCCGUCGGGUUGUAAAGCUCUGUUAAUCGGGACGAAAGGCCUUCUUGCGAAUAGUGAGAAGGAUUGACGGUACCGGAAUAGAAAGCCACGGCUAACUACGUG
rnacentral:rRNA from 1 species